GAGUGAUCGAAAGAUGAAAAGCACUUUGAAAAGAGAGUUAAACAGCACGUGAAAUUGUUGAAAGGGAAGCGUUUGCGACCAGACUCGCCCGCGGGGUUCAGCCGGCAUUCGUGCCGGUGUACUUCCCCGUGGGCGGGCCAGCGUCGGUUUGGGCGGCCGGUCAAAGGCCCUCGGAAUGUAUCACCUCUCGGGGUGUCUUAUAGCCGAGGGUGCAAUGCGGCCUGCCCGGACCGAGGAACGCGCUUCGGCUCGGACGCUGGCGUAAUGGUCGUAAAUGAC
rnacentral:rRNA from 1 species